AGAGUUUGAUCCUGGCUCAGGAUGAACGCUAGCUACAGGCUUAACACAUGCAAGUCGAGGGGCAGCAUGGUCUUAGCUUGCUAAGGCCGAUGGCGACCGGCGCACGGGUGAGUAACACGUAUCCAACCUGCCGUCUACUCUUGGACAGCCUUCUGAAAGGAAGAUUAAUACAAGAUGGCAUCAUGAGUCCACAUGUUCACAUGAUUAAAGGUAUUCCGGUAGACGAUGGGGAUGCGUUCCAUUAGAUAGUAGGCGGGGUAACGGCCCACCUAGUCUUCGAUGGAUAGGGGUUCUGAGAGGAAGGUCCCCCACAUUGGAACUGAGACACGGUCCAAACUCCUACGGGAGGCAGCAGUGAGGAAUAUUGGUCAAUGGGCGAGAGCCUGAACCAGCCAAGUAGCGUGAAGGAUGACUGCCCUAUGGGUUGUAAACUUCUUUUAUAAAGGAAUAAAGUCGGGUAUGCAUACCCGUUUGCAUGUACUUUAUGAAUAAGGAUCGGCUAACUCCGUGCCAGCAGCCGCGGUAAUACGGAGGAUCCGAGCGUUAUCCGGAUUUAUUGGGUUUAAAGGGAGCGUAGAUGGAUGUUUAAGUCAGUUGUGAAAGUUUGCGGCUCAACCGUAAAAUUGCAGUUGAAACUGGCAGUCUUGAGUACAGUAGAGGUGGGCGGAAUUCGUGGUGUAGCGGUGAAAUGCUUAGAUAUCACGAAGAACUCCGAUUGCGAAGGCAGCCUGCUAAGCUGCAACUGACAUUGAGGCUCGAAAGUGUGGGUAUCAAACAGGAUUAGAUACCCUGGUAGUCCACACGGUAAACGAUGAAUACUCGCUGUUUGCGAUAUACGGCAAGCGGCCAAGCGAAAGCGUUAAGUAUUCCACCUGGGGAGUACGCCGGCAACGGUGAAACUCAAAGGAAUUGACGGGGGCCCGCACAAGCGGAGGAACAUGUGGUUUAAUUCGAUGAUACGCGAGGAACCUUACCCGGGCUUAAAUUGCAGAUGAAUUACGGUGAAAGCCGUAAGCCGCAAGGCAUCUGUGAAGGUGCUGCAUGGUUGUCGUCAGCUCGUGCCGUGAGGUGUCGGCUUAAGUGCCAUAACGAGCGCAACCCUUGUUGUCAGUUACUAACAGGUUCUGCUGAGGACUCUGACAAGACUGCCAUCGUAAGAUGUGAGGAAGGUGGGGAUGACGUCAAAUCAGCACGGCCCUUACGUCCGGGGCUACACACGUGUUACAAUGGGGGGUACAGAGGGCCGCUACCACGCGAGUGGAUGCCAAUCCCAAAAACCUCUCUCAGUUCGGACUGGAGUCUGCAACCCGACUCCACGAAGCUGGAUUCGCUAGUAAUCGCGCAUCAGCCACGGCGCGGUGAAUACGUUCCCGGGCCUUGUACACACCGCCCGUCAAGCCAUGGGAGCCGGGGGUACCUGAAGUGCGUAACCGCGAGGAGCGCCCUAGGGUAAAACUGGUGACUGGGGCUAAGUCGUAACAAGGUAGCCGUACCGGAAGGUGCGGCUG
rnacentral:rRNA from 1 species